rnacentral:rRNA from 1 species
UUGGGCGGUCAUACCGGCGGGGAAACACCUCUUCCCAUUCCGAACAGAGCAGUUAAGCCCGCCAGGGCCGAUGGUACUCGGAGGGCAACCUCCCGGGAGAGUAGGUCGCCGCCCAUU